CCUACGGGAGGCAGCAGUGGGGAAUAUUGCACAAUGGGGGAAACCCUGAUGCAGCGACGCCGCGUGAGUGAAGAAGUAUUUCGGUACGUAAAGCUCUAUCAGCAGGGAAGAAAAUGACGGUACCUGACUAAGAAGCCCCGGCUAACUACGUGCCAGCAGCCGCGGUAAUACGUAGGGGGCAAGCGUUAUCCGGAUUUACUGGGUGUAAAGGGAGCGUAGACGGCAGCGCAAGUCUGGAGUGAAAUCCCAUGGCUUAACCAUGGAACUGCUUUGGAAACUGUGCAGCUAGAGUGCAGGAGAGGUAAGCGGAAUUCCUGGUGUAGCGGUGAAAUGCGUAGAUAUUAGGAGGAACACCAGUGGCGAAGGCGGCUUACUGGACUGUAACUGACGUUGAGGCUCGAAAGCGUGGGGAGCAAACAGGAUUAGAUACACCAGUAGUC
rnacentral:rRNA from 1 species